rnacentral:rRNA from 1 species
UUGGCCCCAAGUCAGGC